GAGGAAUAUUGGUCAAUGGGCGGAGGCCUGAACCAGCCAAGUAGCGUGCAGGAUGACGGCCCUAUGGGUUGUAAACUGCUUUUAUGCGGGGAUAAAGGGGCCCACGUGUGGGCUUUUGCAGGUACCGCAUGAAUAAGGACCGGCUAAUUCCGUGCCAGCAGCCGCGGUAAUACGGAAGGUCCGGGCGUUAUCCGGAUUUAUUGGGUUUAAAGGGAGCGUAGGCCGCCCCUUAAGCGUGUUGUGAAAUGCGGGUGCUCAACAUCCGACUUGCAGCGCGAACUGGGGGGCUUGAGUGCGCCGAAAGUAGGCGGAAUUCGUGGUGUAGCGGUGAAAUGCUUAGAUAUCACGAAGAACUCCGAUUGCGAAGGCAGCUUACUGUAGCGCAACUGACGCUGAUGCUCGAAAGCGUGGGUAUCGAACAGGAUUAGAUACCCUGGUAGUCCACGCGGUAAACGAUGGAUGCUCGUUGUCGGCCUUUAUGGUCGGUGACCAAGCGAAAGCGUUAAGCAUCCCACCUGGGGAGUACGCCGGCAACGGUG
rnacentral:rRNA from 1 species